AUGGACGCCACCCUCCCCGAGGAGCCCAGUGGUCACUUAAUAGGAGGAGCAAAUUUUAUCUCCAAACAACACUUGUACUUCAGGAAAAGUGAGUUCCAACAAGAGAGGGGGAAGAAGGAACCUGAGCGCGAUCGGACAAAAUCAGCGCCCUUAAAGGCACUAUUAUUGAAGAGCUUUCAACCACUUUGGAUGAUGCCAAGGAUAUAUUUCGCUAAAACAGUGAUUACACUUUUGGACCUUUGCCUUGUAAAAUGGAAAACAUAAAAUAUAUGAUGGCAGUUGGAUUCUCAAGUGCGAUCAGACUCAGGCUGGAUUCCUUUGUCAAGAUUACAGACAUGACAGAUUUGAGAAGAAUCCAGAGAAGAGAUCUGCCUCAGCCAGUAUUACCAACUACCUGGGAGACCAACCUGAAAUAGCAAAGCAGGGGAUGUGAUGCCCUGCUAAGAACCAGAAAUUUGAAUUAAAUGAAGGUUUCUUCAAAAGGGCAUGUCAAUAGCCCCCAGUUUUUUUUUCAAUGAAUGGGAGGUGUUCAACCAAUCCAAUUAAAAUAUGUUUGGCUGCUUUCCCAGUGACUCCCCUUUCCCUCUAGAACUCUUUAGUGACUCAUCCCUACAAUAAACAUUUAGCAGAGUACAUGUGAGGAGUGAAAAAUUCUUUAGUGUAUCCCAAAACCAAUUCCAAUGCUUGUUUAGUCACUAUUUAGACUGACUAUAUUAUUACUCCCUCAAUUGGUAUAAAUAAUGACUCAGCUGCAUUUUCAAACUAAUUAAUAUUUUAUUAAAUAAACCACAGCUGUGUAAUAUACAUCUAAAAAUCAAUUGAAUUUCCCUGAAAAGUAAAAGCAGCUGCUGAUGUAUUUCUUACUUUUUUUAAUCUUCCACAUUUGUAGGAAGUGUAUCUACCAGUCAGUUUGCCUGAGUCUAAAUCAUAUGAAUGUGUGACCACCCUGGGACACACUAAUGUUAUUGAUCAUCCACACUUUCACACGUAGGCAAUUAUCACUGAAAUGAUCAGACCUUCUGAAAUCUGAGCCAUAUGCCACCAACUCAUAAUUCAAGGCUGGAGCUCAGUAGAAAGUUGGGUGGCUCUGUACAUGGAGAUGGGAUGAUGCAUUUCUUUUGCCCUGUUACCCCUUGUGAACCCUGGGGAGGAAUACCUUUACUGUGAAGCCCUUAAUUGGCUGUAUCCCAAGAAGGCCCAGCUAUGAUUUGACAUUCACUCUCUGUUAGUGGAAGGCAGUGUGAUUCAGACAAAGGAGAGAGCUGACAACCUCUCUCUGAGGUGUAUGAAUAAUUAAAACAAUGUUAGCUUUGUAGAUGGCUGGUAAAUAAUGAUUUACCAUGCUCAGACUGGAUGAAUUUCAUUUUUGUCUCUUGAAUGUCUAAAUAAAGAA